AACGAACGCUGGCGGCAGGCUUAACACAUGCAAGUCGAACGGUUGUAGCAAUACAGCAGAGGCAGACGGGUGAGUAACACGUGGGAACCUUCCUAGGGGUACGGAACAACUCAGGGAAACUUGAGCUAAUACCGUAUACGUCCGUGAGGAGAAAGACUUAUCGCCCUUAGACUGGCCCUGGUCGGAUUGGCUAGUUGGUGGGGUAACGGCCUACCAAGGCGACGAUCCGUAGCUGAUCUUAGAGGAUGAUCAGCCACACUGGGACUGAGACACAGCCCGAACUCCGACGGGAGGCAGCAGUGGGGAAUCUGGGAACAUGGGCGCAAGCCUGUUCCAGCCAUGCCGCGUUAGUGAAUAAGUUGUUCGGAUUGUAAAGCUCUUUUACCAGGGACGAUAAUGACGGUACCUGGAGCAUUAGCACCGGCAAUCUUCGUGCCAGCAGCCGCCGCAGUAA
rnacentral:rRNA from 1 species